UUUCAUGGGAAUGAUCCUUGUUUAAGUUCUUUCGCCAUUUUUUGUCUUCUAUCUGUAAGUCUAUGUAUAUGUUGGUUAGGUAUAUUGUUAGGAAACUACUACGUCUAUCAUCUGUUCCGUUAAGCUAUGUUACUUAUGUCGUAUAUAUCUAUCUACAUAUCAUAGAAAAGGAACUAUCGCGUUCGUGCUUUACGAACAACAAAUGGCUAACGCAUUAGAUGCUGUCGAUUGGGAAGAUCUUAGAAGGCAAGCAAGACAUUUGGAAAAUGAAAUUGAUGCUAAAUUGGUAGCAUUCAGUAAACUUGGUGUUAAUACUGGAGCUAAACUUGUUAAUAGUGAUGAAGUACCUCUUUUAGAUGAAGAACAUGUCUUUGAAAAUAUGGCUUCUGAAAUAGAAACAUUACUUGCUAAAUUAUUUUCUAUAAAUGAAAAAAUGAGUAAAUUGCAACCAAAUGGUGCUGCAAUGUUACAUACAAUGCAACGUCAUAAAGACAUAUUAAAAGAUUAUAAAUUAGAAUUCAAUAAAAUUAGAAAUAAUUUUGCUGCAAGAAGAGAUAGAGAAGAUUUAUUAGGAAGUGUUCGUAAAGAAAUCGAUAAUUACAAAAAUGUGAGUGGAUUAAAUCGACGAGAAAUGUAUAUGAAAGAAAAUCAACAUAUUCACAAUUCGGAUCGUUUGCUUAAUGAUCAAAUAAGCAUAGCAAUGGAAACGCGCGAUCAUUUGAUGACGCAAAGACAAACAUUCAAACGUAUACAAACCAGAUUAAAUGACAUGUCAAAUCGAUUUCCAGCAGUAAAUAGUUUAGUGCAAAGGAUAAAUCUACGUAAAAGACGAGAUUCACUUAUUCUCGGCUUUAUUAUCGGAUUUUGCACAUUUCUCAUGUUACUCUAUGCUUUUCACUAAAUAAUAUUCUAUACCAAAGUACUUCCACCUAUAAGGAUAUAUAAGGAAUUAGUGAUUCAUCAAUGGGAAUGCAUACAUAGACGAGAUCAUAAAUUGUGAGAUCCAUUUAUUUAGCUAUCGAAACUCGUCCAGGCGUACAAACAACAGACAUCUACUCAAUAUACAUGCGAAUUGCAUGACUACUUAUGAUUUCUGAAUAUAAAUAUACUGCCGUAUGUAUCGUUCAAAUCUAACUUUUAAUGCUGACUACUUAUAAAUGAAGAAUAUUAGGAGACGAGGUUAUACAUUUUUUUUCUUAUUACAUAAGAUUUUUAAAAUUAUCCACUUAUUAUUGUAAUAAUAAUGUCGGUCACAGUAAUACAUUUUAUAUGUAUAUAUGUGUAUAUAUAUAUAUAUAUAUAUAUAUAUAUAUAUAUAUAUAUAUAUAUAUACACAUAUACAUAUAUAUAUAUAAAGAAAUAUAUAUGAAAAACAAAUUUGUAAAAACAUACAAGAAUUACACUAUCUUGGCACUUAUUUCAUAAAUAAUAAACAUUAGUUUUAACAUAAAAUUUAUAGAAUAAUAAUCUCCUUUUAUUACCUCGUUCCUUCAUCUCCUUGUAAUAGUAAUAAUAGUUUUGCAGUGAAGAUACUAGUACUAAUAAUAGUAGCAGUUGUGUAAUAACAUUAAUGAUAGCAGUAGCAAUGGUCAUUAAUUAACUAUUCAAUGAAUUCAACGAUCAAACAAAAGGACUGGACAGUUGCGUAUACAUUUGCAUAUAUUCCAGCGAAAAUCGAUUGCUUGUUGCACUGUUUUUUCUAUAUCAUUCUAAUACUACUUUAUAUAUUUUUUUUUGGGUUUUCCUUACUUCUAUUUUGUUAAUCAGUCACAAUAUAUAUUUGAGUAAGAAAACCCAUUUCUAUAACUAAGAUUUUAAUCGAUUCUCACUGAAUGUUUAAAUUUGUUCUUCAAGAUAUGAUUAGCAUAAAAUAUGAUUCUUAAGUUAUAUGUAUUAUUAUAGCUUAAUUUUAUAUUUCCACAUAAGAAUCUUACUUCUCUCCAAAUUUGAUAAAAUUUUUCAUAAUACACGAAAGAUAAAGCUAUUCCGCAUAAAUUGAAAUUUUCCUAUAAUAUAAUGCAGGGAUAGAGAUAGAAAUAGAAACAGAUGAAACAGAAAUAAACAGACGAAGACAAGCAGAGAGAAAGAGAGAGAGAGAGAGAGAGAGAGAGAGAGAGAGAGAGAGACUGAGAGAGACUCUAACUGACUGACUGACUGACUGACUGACUGACUAAAUAUCUAUGUCCAGUGAUACAUUUUACAAAACAAUUGUAAUAUUUUUUUUCGCAUACAAAAGGAGUGACAAAUUUACUUUGCAUGUAAUCAUAAUUAUUAUAAAAUUAUAGACUUUGUUAUUUUCUUUUUUUCUUGAUUCAAUGACACGAAAAACAGAUAAAUGAAAAAUAGAAAAAGAUUCAUUCCCGUUAACGUCUAACUAAAAAGCGGUGGGAUCUAUUAAAGUUUAACAAAAAAAAACAAAGAAAAAAAAAAGAAAUAUGUUAGCUACUUAAUAAUGUUUUUUUGUUUGAUCGGGAUGUAAUAGGUAUACAAAGUAUACUUCGUUGAAAUGAUUAAAUUAAAAACGUUAAAGCCUAACGAAAAAAUAAGUUUCGAUCUCAUGAAAUUCAUAGAUUGGAAAUAUUUAUGCACACGUUCGUUUCACUCGUCAUUACGGCAAUUAAAAUAAAGUUAUAGAUCCAACUUUCGAAUCUAUAUACUUAUUAAUUGAUAUAAUCAAUUUAUAUCUUUGCCGUGCAUUUGCAAAUGCACCCUCUUCUUUAUCUGAAUUUUGUCGCAAGACUUAGGAAGAGGGAUUUGUCCAUGUUAUAUUCACAUUAAUCGCUUCUUUUGGUCCU